GAUGGAGUCGUUAUAGCUCUACAGCUUCUUAAGAUGACGGAAGAUGGACAGGAUCCGCAGGAGGUGAAACCAAGAGGAAUUUCAAGGAAUGAAUUUCAGCUCAUAUGUACAUCGAUGGCCCAAAGCAGCACGCUUGAAGGAGAUCUGAAGGUAUAACAAGAAUAUACCUGUGUGAGGAAUAAGACUGAACAACACCUUGGUCCCAAACUGCAGCUCUUUCUGCCAAAAGUAUUUUCUUUGCACAUCGAAUCAGAAGAGUUCAGCCGUUGCCUCUAGGCUGCUAAAAUGACACACAGCACAGCAUCAGAAUAUGACUUACUGAGAAGUUCAGCAAGGUGGGAUUCUGUGUGUGUGUGUGUGUGUGGGCACACGUCAUGUGCUGUACAGUGUGAGUGCCUGUAAGUGUGAGUUAGUUUUUGAAAAUUGUACAUAAGGCACACAUCACAUUCAACCCACUUCCCUAAAAUUUUCUG